rnacentral:rRNA from 1 species
AUUGAACGCUGGCGGCAGGCCUAACACAUGCAAGUCGAACGGUAACAGGAAGAAGCUUGCUUCUUUGCUGACGAGUGGCGGACGGGUGAGUAAUGUCUGGGAAACUGCCUGAUGGAGGGGGAUAACUACUGGAAACGGUAGCUAAUACCGCAUAACGUCGCAAGACCAAAAAGGGGGACCUUCGGGCCUCUUGCCAUCGGAUGUGCCCAGAUGGGAUUAGCUAGUAGGUGGGGUAACGGCUCACCUAGGCGACGAUCCCUAGCUGGUCUGAGAGGAUGACCAGCCACACUGGAACUGAGACACGGUCCAGACUCCUACGGGAGGCAGCAGUGGGGAAUAUUGCACAAUGGGCGCAAGCCUGAUGCAGCCAUGCCGCGUGUAUGAAGAAGGCCUUCGGGUUGUAAAGUACUUUCAGCGGGGAGGAAGGGGGUAAAGUUAAUACCUUUGCUCAUUGACGUUACCCGCAGAAGAAGCACCGGCUAACUCCGUG